ACCAAACUUUCCACCACCGAUCUCCUGGUUCUCCCCUCCGAGAAGAACGCCACCAAAUGGCAUACCCAGUGGGGAUUGGCACCCUUCUGGAACCUCCAAUUCCUGAACCCCCCUUGCCCCCCUCCGGAUUUCCGGGGGGAUGGCUGGUUUAACCUCCUU
rnacentral:rRNA from 1 species